UACGUAGGUGGCAAGCGUUGUCCGGAUUUAUUGGGUUUAAAGGGUGCGUAGGCGGCUUUGUAAGUCAGUGGUGAAAUAUGGCAGCUCAACUGUCAAGGUGCCAUUGAUACUGCGAGGCUUGAGUACAGAUGAGGUAGGCGGAAUUGACGGUGUAGCGGUGAAAUGCUUAGAUAUCGUCAAGAACACCUAUAGCGAAGGCAGCUUACUAGGCUGUAACUGACGCUGAGGCAUGAAAGUGUGGGGAUCAAACAGG
rnacentral:rRNA from 1 species